GGUUGAUCCUGCCAGUAGUCAUAUGCUUGUCUCAACGAUUAAGCCAUGCAUGUCUAAGUAUAAAUAAAUUUAUAUUGUGAAACUGCGAAUGGCUCAUUAAAUCAGUUAUGAUCUACGUGACAUAUUUCUUUACUACUUGGAUAACCGUGGUAAUUCUAGAGCUAAUACAUGCAAAAAAGCCCUGACUUCGGAAGGGGUGCACUUAUUAGAUAAAGCCAACGCUGGGUAAAACCAGUUUUCCUUGGUGAUUCAUAAUAAUUUAGCGGAUCGCAUGGCCUUGUGCUGGCGACGG
rnacentral:rRNA from 1 species